rnacentral:rRNA from 1 species
UACGUAGGUGGCAAGCGUUAUCCGGAAUUAUUGGGCGUAAAGCGCGCGCAGGUGGUUUCUUAAGUCUGAUGUGAAAGCCCACGGCUCAACCGUGGAGGGUCAUUGGAAACUGGCAGGCUAGAGUGCGGGAGAGGAGAGUGGAAUUCCUGGUGUAGCGGUGAAAUGCGCAGAUAUCAGGAAGAACACCCGUGGCGAAGGCGGCUCUCUGGAACGCAACUGACGCUGAGACGCGAAAGCGUGGGGAGCAAACAGG